UCUCCUACGGGUGGCAGCAGUGGGGAAUCUUGCACAAUGGGGGAAACCCUGAUGCAGCGACGCCGCGUGAGCGAUGAAGCCCUUCGGGGUGUAAAGCUCUUUCGACAGGGACGAUUAUGACGGUACCUGGAGAAGAAGCUGCGGCUAACUACGUGCCAGCAGCCGCGGUAAUACGUAGGCAGCAAACGUUGUUCGGAGUUACUGGGCGUAAAGAGUACGUAGGCGGUUUGCCAAGUUUGGUGUGAAAUCUCCCGGCUUAACUGGGAGGGUGCGCCGAAAACUGGCGAGCUUGAGUGUGGGAGAGGGAAGCGGAAUUCCUGGUGUAGCGGUGAAAUGCGUAGAUAUCAGGAGGAACACCGGUGGUGUAGACGGCUUCCUGGACCACAACUGACGCUGAGGUACGAAAGCGUGGGUAGCAAACAGGAUUAGAUACCCCUGUAGUCU
rnacentral:rRNA from 1 species